CUCUCGGAAGUCUAAAGACUUAGGACGCUUGCAUGAAAUGCAAGAGAUCCGAGUUCGACUCUCAGCCGAGGCA
rnacentral:tRNA from 1 species